GUCAGGAUAGCCGGAAACGGGGUCCAAGGCGCUGCGUUCAGGUCGCAGUCCGGUCUUCCGGGCGUGGGUUCGAACCCCACUUCUGACA
rnacentral:tRNA from 1 species